CCAGUCAGUUCCAAACACAUAACCAAGCCAGCAGCUAGGGCCCAGGACAGCUGAGCACCAGCGCUGAGGCAGGAGAAUGGACAGCAGGCCAGACAAUGGAUCCAGGGAUGCCACCUGCCGUGUGCUUGGAAACCACUCUAGUCCAGUCUGAGUCUGCCUGGUGGUGGCGCUGCCGCCGCCGAGUGCCAGAAAGCCUUUCCUCCCAGGCAGUCCAGCUUGUGACACAGCUUGGCACAUUUAAGGACCUACAUGCUGCUCGGGGGCUGGAGGAAGCAUGCCGAAGACAGGGUUUCUCUGUGUAGCCCUGGCUGUCCCAGACCUCACUCUGUAGACCGGGCUGUCCUUGAACUCACAACUAUCCUCCUGCCUCUGCUUCUGAGUGCUGGGAUUGAAGCUGAAAUCCAGGGACUGAGAAGCAACAGGACCCGAGUGACCACGAUUCCCCUGUUGUCUCCUACCUCGCGUUCUCCGUCCUCCGGCUGAUGCACUGGUGUGCUGGCUGGAGCUGCUGAACUCAGCUGGAGAAGAGCGGGGACCGUGGCCGGCUGAAGAAAGGUUUCUCAGGGAGUCUGUGGAAAGAAGACCGAGCUCUGUUUGCGGAAUGAACUCUCUAAUGGUGGAUGAGAGACGGUUUAUACCAGGGACAGAGUGGUCAUGGCACCGGGGGAGGAACACAGCUGUUCUGCUGAGAAGACACAGGGGAGGGAUAAGAAGCCGCCCUCCGAGAAGGUUCUACACUCUCGGUUGACUUUCUGGCUUCCUCUUGCUCUGUCUACAUCUUCAUUCCUCUGGACCUCGUUCUAGCCUGUCCUGUGACGGAUGGCAGCUCUCAGACCUCAUCUCCAGCUCGGGUCGUCCUGGCUUCCUCCUGUACACCCCUACCUGCCACUGUAUGUCCCGUCAGCUGCUUGAGAUGAGCAACCUAAGCCAAUCUCCUCUCCUCCCAGUCCAGUGCUUCCUGUCUCAGGGAAACACAUCCACACCUUUCCCAUCAGUCAGUUGGCCAAGCCAGCAGCUUGUCAUCUUUAUUCUGAAGGCAAUGAGAAAUCAGUAACUGUUACUGAAGAAGUAACGCUUUAUUAUCCUUUGUGUCUUAUUUGUUUGGCCAACAAAUAUUAAGUCACAUGAUUCAGAAGGCAUGACCCAAGGCCACGGCUGUUAGGAAAGGGUUGGAAUCUCUGGCUUCAGAAUAAAGAUGCCUCGGUGUGACAACGAAAGGUAUUUUGUAAUUACCUGUAUACUUUAUCUUGUUGCUCAGUGCCUCCCUCACUCCUGCAGUGAAUGAUUGUUCCCUUUAUUUGUGCACAUGGACCAAUCAUCUUUGCCCAGCAGCCCUCUGCCUUCAGCGCAGACUGGAGUCAGUCUGUGACUCAGUUUAUUCAUUUGCCUCUCAGAGUCACAGGGAAUUGGAAGACAUCGACAAGCUUUCUUACCUUGAUUUACUUAUCUUACUCAUUUAAUUAUGUUUGUGUUGGGGGCUGGAUAUGUAUGCCACAGAGCAUAUGUGCCUACAUACAGAGGAUCUCUACAUAGUGAGACAAAAACAGAACAGAACACCGAUAAAACAUCUCUGAAUUAUGUGGCUAUCUCCUGGGAGCAGGCUUUCCUUCUACCGUGUGGAUCUAGGGGUGGGGUGGUUAAAUCAG